AUUGGAUUCUCAUAGGAGCAUGAACCCUAUUGUGAACGGCACAUGCAAGGGAUCUAGGUUAUGCGCUCCUUAAGAGAAUCUAAUACCUGGUGGUGAUCUGUCACUGUCUCCCAUCACCUCCAGGUGGGACUGUCUAGUUGCAAGAAAACAAGCUCAGGCUCCCACUGAUACUGCAUUAUGCUUCUUUUGAAAUAUCCACAUAGACUGUCCAGCAUUCUGUGUGUUUGGAGUUCAGGAGAGAAUUUUACGUCACAGAUACAGAUCUCAGGAUGAUCCACAUAUGGGUGGAUGCAGCCAUACAUUCAGGUUAAGGUGAGGAAAGAGAAGACCAGCAGAGGUUAUGGAACAGUGGUCCAGAGUGAGACCACCGGCCAGGGCAGGUGACCACCAGAACCAAACUUCAGAGCACGUACGCAUCCCCAGGAAUCCAGAGAUAUGUGGCAGCAGGGACAGCACUGGUUUCAUGUCCGAAUAUUCACUGGAACACUCCCACCUGCAAAGGCAUUACUUUGGGGCCAUGGAU
rnacentral:lncRNA from 1 species